GAUGAACGCUGGCGGCGUGCCUAAUACAUGCAAGUCGAGCGAACGGACGAGAAGCUUGCUUCUCUGAUGUUUGCGGCGGACGGGUGAGUAACACGUGGAUAACCUACCUAUCAGACUGGGAUAACUUCGGGAAACCGGAGCUAAUACCGGAUAAUCUUUUGAACCGCAUGGUUCAAAAGUGAAAGACGGUCUUGCUGUCACUUAUCGAUGGAUCCGCGCUGCAUUAGCUAGUUGGUAAGGUAACGGCUUACCAAGGCAACGAUGCAUAGCCGAACUGAGAGGGUGAUCGGCCACACUGGAACUGAGACACGGUCCAGACUCCUACGGGAGGCAGCAGUAGGGAAUCUUCCGCAAUGGGCGAAAGCCUGACGGAGCAACGCCGCGUGAGUGAUGAAGGUCUUCGGAUCGUAAAACUCUGUUAUUAGGGAAGAACAUAUGUGUAAGUAACUGUGCACAUCUUGACGGUACCUAAUCAGAAAGCCACGGCUAACUACGUG
rnacentral:rRNA from 1 species